AUGCACGCAGCUUGCCCGGCAGGGAGUGCUGGCGCUCGCCUGCCUCUCCCAGGGACCGGCGCUCCAGGAAGGAGCUGGCAGGGAAAGCCCCGCUUUGCGACAUGCCCCACCACAGGCAUCUCUGCAGCCCCAUGUGGCGCCGGGCACGGUGAAGCCCUCUGGGGCCAGACAGCAGCUCCCGGGAUAGCCGCUGCCACCGGAGCACCUACGGCACGUUUGCAGAGACCCCUGCACACCGUGGCGUGGGGGGAGACUUCGGGGCCGGCUGGGGGAGCCAGGGCCAGAGCCGCUGCUGGCACCUGCGGGGCGGCCCCAGGGGCUGCAUCCCCGCGGCACGGGGCUGGGCAGGGUUAUUCCGGGGCCGAGGGGCCCAGCUCCCGGCCACGGAGCGAGGGUGCCGGYGGCACGGGGCUGCGAACCGUGUCUGGUCACAGGAUGUCCCUCGGGAGCAGGCGAUUGUUCCUGGAGGCAGAACAAUACCCAGCGGCUUGCCAGGGCGCYGCGGCCGCUCCGCACGCCUGCCCCAGAGCAACCUCCGCCCGCUCCAGCGGGGCCGAGCCCCGGCCGGGGGCGCCCGGCUCCUCGCUCCCCAGCCGGCCAUGCCCCACGCGGGCUCCUCUCGGCCGGUGUGCCGGCGGCUGUCCCGGUCCCGCGGCACGGCGCAGCGCGGCGCAGCUCUCCCUGGGUGCACAGAGCCCAAGCCGAGCGCCGGGGCAGACGCCGCUUUGGGACCCUCAGCUUUCCUGUGUCCGGCACGGCUCGUCCGGCUGCUGCCAGGCCGCGGGGAGGAGGAGACGGGGUGAUUCACGCUUGGAUGGAGCGUGCCGGGAGCUGGGGCAUGGACGGGUCACCAGGAGCCACCUCCGUCCCGGGGAGGAUUUAAGCCCCUGCCUGCGCCUGGGCACGCAGCCCCGCCGCAGCCGGCCCCGCGCGCGCCAUGAGGCUGGCGGCUCUGCUCCUGCUCCUGGGGCUCUGCUGCCUCUGGGCCCGGCUGGUGUCCACAGGUGA
rnacentral:lncRNA from 1 species